rnacentral:rRNA from 1 species
GGGGAAUAUUGGACAAUGGGCGCAAGCCUGAUCCAGCCAUGCCGCGUGAGUGAUGAAGGCCCUAGGGUUGUAAAGCUCUUUCAACGGUGAAGAUAAUGACGGUAACCGUAGAAGAAGCCCCGGCUAACUUCGUGCCAGCAGCCGCGGUAAUACGAAGGGGGCUAGCGUUGUUCGGAAUUACUGGGCGUAAAGCGCACGUAGGCGGAUAUUUAAGUCAGAGGUGAAAUCCCGGAGCUCAACUUCGGAACUGCCUUUGAUACUGGGUAUCUUGAGUAUGGAAGAGGUAAGUGGAAUUGCGAGUGUAGAGGUGAAAUUCGUAGAUAUUCGCAGGAACACCAGUGGCGAAGGCGGCUUACUGGUCCAUUACUGACGCUGAGGUGCGAAAGCGUGGGGAGCAAAC